CAGUAGCGCGGUAAUGCGUAGGGUGCGAGCGUUAAUCGGAGUUACUGGGCGUAAAGGGCGCGUAGGUGGUUAUUUAAGUGAGAUGUGAAAGCCCCGGGCUUAACCUGGGAACUGCAUCUUAUACUGGGUAACUGGAGUGCAGUAGAGGGUAGUGGAAUUUCCGGUGUAGCGGUGAAAUGCGUAGAUAUCGGAAGGAACACCAGUGGCGAAGGCGGCUACCUGGACUGAGACUGACACUGAGGCGCGAGAGCGUGGGGAGCAAACAGGAUUAGAUACCCCAGUAGUCCCUGUCUCUUAUACC
rnacentral:rRNA from 1 species